rnacentral:piRNA from 2 species
UAGAAAACAGACAAUUGCUGAAGUAGUGA